UAAAUUUUACAUUUUAAAAUUUAGAUUUUAAAUUUAAAAUUGAAUUUAAAAAUUUAAAUUUAAAAUUUUAAAAUAAUAUAUUUCAUCUUUCAUAUUUUAUAUAUAUAGAGAGAGCUAGGCUGGUAUACCAUCGAUAGCACGAAGGCCUCAAUGCUAUCAAGUUGUUUUCAAUGAUACGGCUUUCAAAUCGACGAUCGGUUCCGUUAGAUUUGAUCUACACUAUUGAAAGUAUUUGGAAACUAAAUUUCAUAAUUUUUCGGCAUCAUUUACUUAUCAAACAAGUAGUAUAAAAAGGAACGGCUGAAAAUAAAAACCUCAUAAAAAAUGGUGAUAAAAGACUUAAAUUUAAGAUCAGAGAAACUGAUCUUACUCUAAUCAGUGAAAAAAAAAAUUCUAUUAAAUUUUUAUCAGAUUUGGAUUAUUUUACACCGUUAAAUUCACAAAUACAUCACAUCUACCAUUAAAAUCGUCAAUUUUGAGACCUUUUGAUAAGUAGCCAAAUAAUGUAGAAAAAUUAUGAAAUUUAGUUUUCAAAUACUUUCAAUAGUGUAGAUCAAGUCUAACGGAGCUGAUUGUCGAUUUGGAAGCUGCAUCAUUGAAAACUACUUGGCAACACGGAGGUCUCCGUGCUACCGAUAGUAUACCAGCCUAGCUCUAUA
rnacentral:lncRNA from 1 species